AUGUGUAAUGCUUAUAUUACAAAAGAAGUAAGGAUCUGUUGUAAUAUUUUACAAAUUGAAGUAUUCUCAUGUCAGAUUAAAAAUACCCGUGAAAUAUUACGCUAACGUUAAUACGCAAUUUUGUUUGUUUGUUCCUUCAAUAUAGCAGCAGCAAAAAACAAAUGCAGAAACGAAACUUCACUUCAGAGGACAUUCCCAUAACCCGUAAACCAGAAAUCUAUUUCGCUGAACAAACAUAUUUAUCGGCUAACAUAAUAACACAUUUUUGUAAUGAUAAUGUUGAUGAACCUUAUUGAACUCUUACUUUUUACUGUACUUUUCGGCUAAAGCCAAUCACUAAACUAAAAAGGUAAAACAAUAAUAUCCUGGGACAUUAUUCACACAAUACCAUCUGAUCCCUUAUUAAGCAGAGCUUGUACUAUGGAAACCAGACAACUGAUAUAUUUCAUAUACUACUUUUCUUUUGUAAAUACAUACUUAUAUAGAUAAUUACACCCAGACUUAGAACAAACAGACAUAUUCAUGCAUUUAAAUGUCUGUCUUGGGGUAGGAAUCGAACCCACAACCUUCGGCGUGAAAGGCAAGUUACCAACCACGCCAAACGGCUCAAUUAUUGUAAUCAUAUUAUGAAUUAAUCCAUAUUUUAUCUUCUAGUAAUUUAAAUUUUCAAAGAAACAAAAAAAAACGAAAUAUUGAAAAAAUUUACUUACACAUUAUAUACAUAACAAAUCACAAAAUGAAAUGUUUAGUUUUUAAUUCAAACAUCUAUACAUAGAGGUCGUCAUCUGACCUAUAUACUCUUUAAAUAAACUUUUUAAGCUACA